UCCCAAGCAGGGUCCACGCUCACUGCAGAGCCUAGUGCGGGGCUCCAUCCCACAACCCUGGGACCAUGAUCUGAGCCAAAAUCAAGAGUCAGAUGCUCAAGUGACUGAGCCACCAAGGCGCCCCCAUUAAACUUAUGUACUAAUUUGGGGAGAGUUUAUGGUUUUACUAUAUUGAGUCUUCCAAUCCAUGAACAUGAUGCGUUGCUCUAUUUACUUAGACCUUCUAUGAUUUCUUUCAUCAGUAUUUUGUACUUUUCACCCUACAAGUUCUAUUCACAUUUUGUCAGAUUUAUAAUGAAGUAUUUCAUUUUUUGAGCAAUUAUAAAUACUCAAUAUUAGAUUUGGGGUGUCCAUGUGUUUUUGUAUAUAUAUGUCUGUGUGCACAUGCUUAGCCCCCUCCCCUCCCUCCCGCCACAAUUUUGGUAUGUUUGUCUUGUAUCCUGAAAAACCCAUGGUGGUGAUGACAUAUGUUAGGUGCAGGUGCUCAAAACCCUGUCUUUGACUCAAAGCUUUGCCUUUUCCCCUUCUUACAGAUUGAAUGGUUGAUUGCAUGAUUCAUUCGUUCUUUGAUUCGGCACACUUUCACUGUGAACCCAUCAUGUACGGAGGUCUUUGUUAGGUACUUCCGGUCAUCUGGAGUUAAACAAGGUAGGGUCUUUGAUCUCAUAUAGUCGCAGGAAAAAGGACAGUGCCGAGAACCACCUAUAAUACUGAUCAUAAUAAAAUCAGCAUCAUUCUGGAGACAAAACCCGUGUGUGCUGGACAUGCAAAGAAAGGAACAAUUGAGUAUGAGUAUUGAGGAUGUCUUCAUGAAAAAAAUAGGUUAUGUGUGCAGUAAGGUUGACUUUACACGUUAGUGGCAGAUAAGUGGAGAGACUGGGGGAGCCAUGUGAGUGAAGUCCUAGACCCGUAGAGAGGACUUGGUUAUUCCUGGUCUUUGGAGCCUGGGUAUGUGGAACUUUGUUGUGAGAUGAGGGAUUGGAAAGAUGAGGCAGGCUUUGUGGGUUUUCUCGAACGUUCUGGUAUGUAAAUUGGACUUUAUUCUGUAGUAAAUAGGAAGUAAUUUAAAGUUUGUAAGCAGGAGAAUAUCAUGAUUAUGAUGAUUACAUAAGAUAAUUCUGGUAAUAGUGUCAGUGAUAGAUAAGAAAGUCAAGGCACCGGAGGGAAGGAGCCCAUCUAUCAGGCCAUUGCAACAGUUAAGGCAGGAGAAAUGGAAAUGCAAAGUUGGUCUCCUCCAGAAAGGUCAGAGCCAUCUGAAGUGCAGCGAGUAGCACAUAACUACUGCUUUUAAUCCAAGUAGCCUUUUCUUCUUGUGAUUGGGAAGAGAUCAAAAUUCUCUGUUAUCCAAGCAGAGUAAAAAUUGGAUUUCGAAAACAAAAAUGCACUGUUUUCACUUAAAGUUUACAACUUCUUUUCAAAUAACAAAUAUAGGUUGUAAUUUUUUUUUGAGUGAUAUAUUUUUGUAUUUUAAAAGGGCAGUCACUCUGUAAGAAUCAGUACACUUUAGCAUCAAUUGGUUUUCUUAUGGGAUGCAGUCACUGUGCAUUAUGUGUUUUGUAAUUCUAAUUUUUCAUGUUUUUUUUUAAGUUUAUUUAUUUAUUUUGAGAGAGAGAGAGAACAAAUAGGAGAAGGGCAGAGAGAGAAGGAGACAGAGAGAAUCCCAAGCAGGCUUCUCACUGUCAGUGCAGAGCCCGAUGUGGGGCUUGAACUCAGGAAGCAUGAGAUCAUGACCUGAGCCAAAGUCAGACGUGUGACCAGCUGAGCCACCCAAGCACUCCUCAGUUUGGUACAGUACAUGUGAAUGAGAAUCAUCGGCCCGCAACAGCAGUGUUUCUGGACAUACUUGGGCUCACGUAAGCUGCGGAUGUUGACAGAGGAGCUCAUGCCUUUUCUGCAGACAGAGAGAGACAGAGCAUGAACGGGGGAGGGGCAG